GUGAAAAGUCAGGAACACGGGGCAGGAACAACCCAGCAUGAGCGGAACUGACUUGUUGUAACAGAUUCAAAUACAGAAGAAGGACAGACCUUGUGUGUCUUGGGGCCCACUCACCUCUGCACCCC